UAGUCAUUUGAACCGGCGCAAACAGCUGUAAACGUUGCUAUGCAACAUUGUACACAACAAAACAAAAUAGUUUAAUAAGUGUUGCUAUUACGUUGAAAUUUCUAGCAACAUCUUGUAAUGUAAAUGUUGCUAGAACAUAUUUGAAAUGAAGCAACAUGUUUCUGAAUGGCUUGAAAAUCUUUGACAUCCACGAGCUGGCAUCUGCUGCAUCUGAAUGAACUAUAUAUUACACAAGCUUUAUCAUGAUAACCUACAGCAAAUAAAUAGUGUUUGAAGCGACAGUCGGAGAAAGCAGACGUAAGGUGGUAUUCCCUAUCUGUCGUGAACCGAUAAAGUUUAGGGAAUACUAACCACAGCUAACUAACGUGACUGGAGAAGUAGCGCUCAUAGAAUGCUGUGUCAGUCCAAUAACGUGUUGUUAUGGUUAAAAAAUCCUUGGGAUUGUGUGCAUUUGUUCCACAAACAUAUAAACGUGCUCCAGAGUCCAUCGGUUGAAUU